AUAUGGGCAAGUCUUCAACACAAAAGAUAAAACUGCACUUUCAUCUAUGUGUUCAUGGUUUCAGGAGUUAUUUAAUAAUGAGAAGAUGCAAAAUCCUAUUUAACCACUUUACUAAAUUGUUAUUGGAUAAACUCUUUUAUCCACCAUAAUUGGUAUCUUUGAGGAGUUGUGGUUGCCUUCAUGUUCUCAGAUGUUUCUUGGCAGUUCCUUGAUUGCAAAGAGUUAUCUGUUUGUGCGCAUUUUCUUUGUCACUAUUAUUUGCAGGGUUGUAUGCUUCUGAUGGCAUGAGCA
rnacentral:misc_RNA from 1 species